rnacentral:lncRNA from 1 species
CCAAAAAUAUUAAGAAAAUUGUGAAAUAUAUCACUCAAUGUUGGAUAAAUCGUGUGUUAUUCAUUCAAACAAGAAAAGCACGCUGAAUAGAAUAAAGGACUUGGACUAUGAAGUAUAAUUUGAACCAACAAGACAAUAAGUUGCAAAGUACAAGUACAUUGCACUUACAAAUGGCAUCAUUAGAGGAAGCUGAUAAUUCAAGAAACGCACUCAGAGCCUAGAAGAGAAGCAAGAGCACAAGCACAAUUAAAGGAGAAUCGCCUCAAAAGAAAAGUGAAAGUAGCAAACCUAACACAACAAUAAGGCACUAACGACCAAAUUAUACUAAAAAAGGGAAUCAGAACAGUAUUUUAAACAUAUUGCAGUCACCAAUUCGUCCACUGAUACUCCUCCAAAGUUUAAGGUCAGAUGUCAAAGCAUCAAAUGAAGAUCACAGAACCACAAUGAUGAAUUUGAUAUGAUGGCACGAGAAAUGACAACGACCCCAAGAGAGUUACAUAAGCAUAAAAAGACUCAACUUAAAAUAACAUCACAAAACUAAGCGUGCACAAGUACAACUAGGAAAUAACAAAUGUCAACAUUCCUAGGCCAUCAUCAUUUAUUCCUCCAUAUUGUCCUUUCCGGCAUAAGGGCAGCUUUAAGACGCUACUUCCUAGACCUAGAGACAAAUAUCAAAGUGAAUUGAAGUGUCAAUACAGGUAAUAUAUACUAAGGUUAUAUUAAAACAAUACAAUAUCAUAGCGCAUCAUCCAACACAACCUUUUGAGGUUUAGUCAGCACUAGAACUAGAUUUAAAAAGAUUAUCUGCUGCCGCUGUUCUUCCCACUAAGAAUCCUCCAUUUUUCUGCUACGCUACUACUAUCAUUCUGGGCUUUAAUAAUGUUGCUAACAAAACAGCUCACAAGAAAGAAUAUUGAAGAAAAAAUGGUGUAUAUGGCAUUGCAUUAUAUAUACUUACUAUAUAAUUAACUAGCACUCAUGUGCUACAACUUCUCCUAAUUAGUUCUCUCAUUUAUAAGUUGGAGACAAGAAUCAAGAAUAUGGGUUUGAUGGACAAAUUACAAAAUGUUAAUAUUGAAAAUUUGCAGCUACAUGGGAACUUAAAAAUGGGACAUUCUUUUUUUGAAACUUCUGAAAAUUUUAUUUAGACUACUGCAAAAGAAAAAAAUAAGAAAAAGUAUAUGGGGUGGGGAGGGGUGGGGUAUGGCAGGGCAAUUAUUUGAGAAAUGCUAAAUACGGCAGGGUAGGGCGGGUCGAAAUCUUAGCAGGUCAUGCCUUGCGCUGCCCUAACCCACCCUAGUGUCAUCCCUCUAUCAGCAUUCAAUAGGUGCUGCUCACUGAAUAAUACGUAUUAUCUUCUAAAAAAAAAAGAAUAUAACUUACUCUUUAAUUUUAAAAGCUUCGUUGCGUAACCUGCAAAAUAAAUUUAAAAAUAAGUUUUACACAAGAGAAAUGUCUGGAAAACAAUUAGCCUAGUAGGAAAGAUGAUAGUAAACAAAAAAAAAAAUCUUCAAGUUUGGGAAUCACCUAUACCUAUUAUUUGCAACAAACUCCUUCCAAUUUUGAGUUUCACUUACCCCGUUUUAUAUACAUUUUUGUGUACAUAGUUUCUUCUUAACCUAGAUUUUUACAAUUUUUGGGCUUUUGAAGCAAAUUUAUCCGAGGUUGAGUUAUGCACCAAAUCGAAGGAAUGAAGAGCAGCCACAAUGAGAUGGAUUACUUCAUUUCCCUAGUAAGGAAAACAGAAAUAACAGCCUACAAAUGGUUCUAAUACCCCCUCCCAAUUGGGAAUUACCCAGGUUUGAUGGUCAGGACUCAAGAGCCUAAGGUACGGAUUCGAAAAUGUGAGAGGUAUUUCAAUUCAUAUAAAAUUCUUGAGCAACAAAAGGUAGAAACAACAGCUCUCUAUUUGAAUGGUGUAUCAGAGGUUUGGUGUCAUUAGUUGAUACCGAGUACGGGAGUUGUAGGAUGCCUGAAUUUAAGAAGGAACUAUGCAACAGAUUCAGUGUAGAACCACUACGGGAUGUGGUGGAAGAACUCAAUAAACUUUCUCAAACUGGUACUGUGGAUUAAUUGUAGCGGGAGUUUGAAGACUUAAAUUCCCAGAUAUUGGUAAGAAAUCCAAUUCUGAAUGAAUCACAUUUCUUGUCUAGCUUUUGUAGGAGCAUUGAAGGAAGAAAUCAAGUAUGGGGUCAAACUGUUUAAACCUUCUAGCAUACAAUUUGUCUCUUGAGGAUCAUAUUCAUCAACUUAUUGUUCUGUUUACUACUCUUAGAGGAUACUUGGGGCUAACAGAUUACUACAGAAAAUAUGUAGCAAGAUAUGGUACCAUAUGCAAACCCUUGGCAGACUUAUUGAAGAAGGAUUCCUUUAAGUGGAAUGAAGAAGCUAAUGCAGCCUUUGUUGCUCUCAAAACUGUUAUGACCACCAUUCCUGUUGAGAGUUGUGAUGUAUGCCACAAGAACAAGGAUGAGAAUGUAGCCUACCUAGGGCUACUGCAACCUCUACCAACCCCUAAUCAAAAUUGGAGUCACAUAAGCAUGGACUUUACCGAAGGAUUGCCAAAAUCCAGGUCCAAGGAUGUGAUACUAGUAGUAGUGGACAUGCAAUUAAAGUAUGCUCAUUUUGUUGCCCACUCCCACCCUUUUAAUGCAGCCACUGUAGAUCACAAGUUUUGGAAGAAGAUGCAUUGCUUACAUGGCACUCCUAAGUCAAUUGUAUCUGAUAGAGACAAAAAAAAUUCUUAGCAAUUUUUGGCAGUCCUUGUUCAAACUAUUGGGUACUUAACUACACUUUAGCACUGCCUAUUACCCUCAAAUUGAUGGCCAGGCUGAGAGAGUGAAUAGGUGCAUUGAGAACUACUUGAGAUGCAUGACCUCUAACAUGCCUACUCAUCGGAGACAGUGGCUUCAUUCUGCCGAAUGGCAAUACAAAACCAAUUUCCAUACUGGUUUGCAGAGUACUCCAUUUGAGGCUCUUUAUAGUUGUUCACCACCACACCUAUCUGUUGGACCCCUGCUUGAGACUAUUGUUCCUACUGCUGAAGAUGUUUUUAUGCAAAGACAACAAAUGUAACCGCUUUUGAAGGACAACCUCCACAAGGCUCAAGAAAGGAUGAAGUUGUAUGCAGAUAAAAGGAGAUCAGAUAAAGAGUGCUCCAGGUAGGUGACAAGGUCUAUCUUAAACUUCAGCCAUACAGACAAACCUCUCUUGCUUUGACAAAGAAUUUGAAAUACUAUGGUCCUUAUACAGUCUUAGCCGAAGUGAACACUAUGGCAAACAAGUUAGUAUUGCCACCGUCUUCUCAUGUAUUCCAUGUGUCCUUCUUGAAGAAUAAGAUAGGUGAUAAAUGGGUACUCAAACUAUUCUACUUGCUGGUGAAGAUGGUCAAUUCUUGGUGAAACCAGUUGUUGUCCUGGAGAGACAAACAGUGAAGCAUUACUAUAUGGCCAAGGUGAAGGUGCUCAUUCAGUGGUCUAACCAGCCUCCUGAAGAUGCGACAUGGGAGGAUUACGAGUUCAUACAAGCACAGUUUCCUGAUUUUGUUCUCAAUCCUUUAGGACAAGGAUGUUGUUGUGAGGGAGUUAUUGUCAUAAUUGAGACUUAUUAAUUCAAUUAGUAGUUAAAAGACUAUUAGCGGGUGAGAGCGCAAAGGCUAUGAAUUAUGAUUGCCGUCAGCUCAAAUCAAAACUUAAAGCAACUACCAGGAGAGAGAAGAAGACAUUGAUUGAAUUGGUAUUAUUCGUGUGCUCUCUUCUAACAGAUUUCCCUCUCAAUCUUUCAUUCUCUUCUCUUCUCCUUUGUAAUCCAAACAUUUUGCCUGCACAGGAUUGGAGCUCUGUCUAUAAUGAUUUCUACAAUUUCGUUUGAUGGAAUAUAGAAAAUUGUGAUAAUUGAAUUUAGUUGAUUUUAAUUCCAAAAUUGAGGUGAGAAGGUUGAGGUACGCACCAGUACAAGUAGAAGCACGAAGCUACCAGUCCACCCCCAAUGAAAGCUCUAACUGCAAAGAAAGACCAGAGAAAUAAAAUGAGAGAGAUAAAUUUGAAGCGAGAAAUAGAAAAGUAGGUUGAUAAUUAAUUUUACCAUCAUGACCAACUCUACUAGAGGUUUUUGUGGGAGAGCAAUAUCCCCUGAUACAGAAUCAACAAUACACAAAUUACAUACCUGGAGAAGAAGAAGAAGAAAAAUUCAACAUACCUUAAUUGUGUUGGUGCUCCAAGCAAAGCCCUACCAGCCAUUUGUCUUCUACAAAAAUCAAACAAGCCUAAGCAAAAAUCAUACAGUAUUAUUAAUGAAAUUAUGCUGAAACCAACCAACCAACUCACCCUACGAAACAGAAUGCCAUUAACUCAACGAUCUUCGUCCAAACAAAACAACGAAAACCUAGCAUGCAAAUCCCUCUCCCAGCCAAAUACCAAAAAAGCAAAGUAAUACACCAACAAAUUUUAACCGACCCGAUUCCAGGCCUACAAGUUAGUUGGGUUUUGUAUACUUGGAAAUUUCAAAUUAAUUUGUUACUUUUU